AUACGUAGGGGGCUAGCGUUAUCCGGAUUUACUGGGCGUAAAGGGUGCGUAGGUGGUUUUAUAAGUCAGCGGUGAAAUUUUCCGGCUCAACCGGGAUACUGCCGUUGAUACUGUAAGGCUAGGAUAUGGUUGCUGUGGGUGGAAUGUGUGGUGUAGCGGUGAAAUGCGUAGAUAUUAGGAGGAACACCAGUAGCGAAGGCGGCUUUCUGGACUGUGACUGACACUGAGGCACGAAAGCGUGGGGAGC
rnacentral:rRNA from 1 species